UACGUAGGGGGCAAGCGUUGUCCGGAUUUAUUGGGCGUAAAGAGCGUGUAGGCGGCCAGACAGGUCAGCUGUGAAAACUCGAGGCUCAACCUCGAGACGUCGGUUGAAACCGUUUGGCUAGAGUCCGGAAGAGGAGAGUGGAAUUCCCGGUGUAGCGGUGAAAUGCGCAGAUAUCGGGAAGAACACCAGUGGCGAAGGCGGGUCUCUGGACAGUUCCUGACACUGAGGCACGAAGGCCAGGGGAGCAAACGGG
rnacentral:rRNA from 1 species